rnacentral:rRNA from 1 species
AUUGAACGCUGGCGGCAGGCCUAACACAUGCAAGUCGAACGAGUGGCGGACGGGUGAGUAAUGUCUGGGGAACUGCCCGAUAGAGGGGGAUAACUACUGGAAACGGUAGCUAAUACCGCAUACCAUCGGAUGUGCCCAGAUGGGAUUAGCUAGUAGGUGGGGUAACGGCUCACCUAGGCGACGAUCCCUAGCUGGUCUGAGAGGAGGACCAGCCACACUGGAACGGAGACACGGUCCAGACUCCUACGGGAGGCAGCAGUGGGGAAUAUUGCACAAUGGGCGAAAGCCUGAUGCAGCCAUGCCGCGUGUAUGAAGAAGGCCUUAGGGUUGUAAAGUACUUUCAGCGGGGAGGCGUUACCCGCAGAAGAAGCACCGGCUAACUCCGUGCCAGCAGCCGCGGUAAUUC